rnacentral:rRNA from 1 species
UAAGGAAUAUUGGUCAAUGGACGCAAGUCUGAACCAGCCAUGCCGCGUGGAGGAUGAAGGCUCUCUGGGUUGUAAACUUCCUUUAUAUGGGACGAAAAAGGGUCUUUCUAGAUCAACUGACGGUACCAUGUGAAUAAGUACCGGCUAACUCCGUGCCAGCAGCCGCGGUAAUACGGAGGGUGCAAGCGUUAUCCGGAUUCACUGGGUCUAAAGGGUGCGUAGGUGGGUUGGUAAGUCAGUGGUGAAAUCUCCGAGCUUAACUUGGAAACUGCCAUUGAUACUAUCAGUCAUGAAUAUUGUGGAGGUCGGCGGAAUAAGUAAUGUAGCAGUGAAAUGCUUAGAUAAGACAUAGAACACCAACUGCGAAGGCAGCAGGCUACGCAUAUAAUGACACUAAGGCACGAAAACGUGGGGAUCAAACA